rnacentral:rRNA from 1 species
GAUGAACGCUGGCGGCGUGCCUAAUACAUGCAAGUCGAGCGAACAGACGAGGAGCUUGCUCCUCUGACGUUAGCGGCGGACGGGUGAGUAACACGUGGAUAACCUACCUAUAAGACUGGGAUAACUUCGGGAAACCGGAGCUAAUACCGGAUAAUAUAUUUAACCGCAUGGUUCAAUAGUGAAAGACGGUUUUGCUGUCACUUAUAGAUGGAUCCGCGCCGCAUUAGCUAGUUGGUAAGGUAACGGCUUACCAAGGCAACGAUGCGUAGCCGACCUGAGAGGAUGAUCGGCCACACUGGAACUGAGACACGGUCCAGACUCCUACGGGAGGCAGCAGUAGGGAAUCUUACGCAAUGGGCGAAAGCCUGACGGAGCAACGCCGCGUGAGUGAUGAAGGUAUUCGGAUAGUAAAACUCUGUUAUUAGGGAAGAACAAAUGUGUAAGUAACUAGGCACGUCUUGACGGUACCUAAUCAGAAAGCCACGGCUAACUACGUG